rnacentral:rRNA from 1 species
UACGGAGGGUGCGAGCGUUAUUCGGAAUUACUGGGCGUAAAGCGCGUGUAGGCGGGGAGGCAAGUCUGAUGUGAAAGCCCUGGGCUUAACCCGGGAAGUGCAUUGGAAACUGCUUUUCUUGAGUUCUGGAGAGGAAGGGGGAAUUCCCGGUGUAGAGGUGAAAUUCGUAGAGAUCGGGAGGAAUACCAGUGGCGAAGGCGCCCUUCUGGACGGAUACUGACGCUGAGACGCGAAAGCGUGGGGAGCAAACAGG